CCCUGAUGACGUGAGAGAAGAGGACGGGUCUCCCACCACUCCUACACAGACAGACCUGGACGAAAAAAGAGAAAAAAAUUAGUGUCUGCUCCUGAAAAUGGGCCUCUCCAUUUGCUGCAGAGCCGCUUUCAACUUUGACCCCAGCCAAGGAGGGCAUCUAACAAUGAUGCUGGGGAACAUGUGGAUGAUUCCAACUCAAAAAAGGCUAUGGGACAACCUAAUGAGGAAAAUGUUGAGAAAUCAUCAGGCUCAGGGGAAGGAAAUUAAUUGAAUGUCAUAAAUGAGAAAAAAUGGUAAACUAUCAUUCCUGAACAGAAAACUGCAGAUACAUGAGCACAAAAAGACAGGACAAAAAGAAAUAGAAGACAAUCAGCAAGAAAAGGAUGAACAAGUUUCUGAUCAUAUCAGGUGGUAGAGGUGAUGAAAGCAAAGACUUCUGCCUCGGGACAAGGUAAUAGUAACUGUAACCCUGUAGCAACAGAGCCCGAUCAUCAAAAAAAGGCAAAACUAAUGAACGCCUUUCUAAAGUUUCUGAUGCAGCAUGUGCAGUCCUAGUAGCAUUGUGUCAUUUACAUACAAUUUUCUCAAAGAACUGUCUUUUCACAAAUUUUAGCCUUUCUCUCUCGGUUCAGUUGAACUUUCAGACAGACUGAACUUGCAAUGCUAUAUUCACCCCGCAUACAUGUUAAAAGAGCAAAACAUUAUUUUACUCAUUCAAGUGAGUGCUUCCAUUUGCUUAUAAGAGAUCCCUUUACGGUGAUUGAGUGUGUACCCAUGAUUCAAAUCAUUCAUCCACAGGGUACACUCACAUGUAAUCCAGGCAUAAAACACACGGGUGAGGCAGAUAAAGGUGAAACUACAAAGGAUAAUAGUAAAGUCCACCGUGAGGCCUAGAAGAAGAAAAAACAGGGCGGAAAAGCCUUAGUGGAGAUAAAGGCUUUCAAAAGAAAAGUGAACCUGUUGAUUGCAAUCCAGAAGGAAACAGAUCUCAAAAGUGUAAUUGUAAGAUUUUUAUAAAGAUCCAGUAUACAGUUGAAAAGAGUGUAGAUGUCCCUCAGUCUGAGCCAGAACAAAGGCAAACAAUUAUUUGCUCAGAGAGGCCAGAAAAACAGACAGAUUAACGGUAGGAGACACUGAAAACAAAAGCAGACAAUUAUAUCAGAGACUUAAGACCAGAGGUCACCAUUCAUUUUAUUUUUUCAAAGUAGAUAAGAUAUCAAAGACCUCCUAUGAAUCAGAAAAUACUAUUAUGCUAACAAAACAGCUUCUAAAAAUACCACAGAGUUAGUCAUCUUACAGACCACUGCAGAGGGCUGGUCUGAAAUUAUGCAACAGAAAUAACAUGGAAUAAUGUAUUCUUGUGUAUCUUGGCACUUCUAGUUAGUGAAUGUGUUUGUUUGACAACUACAUGUAAAUAUAUUCUUUUUUAAAUGAUGAUAAAAAUGAUGAUGAUGAUGAUACAGUAUGUUCUAAAGUAUUGUAAAAGCUCCAGUUUUAUGUGUAUGUGUUAGGGGGAAAUUUCAUUCAAACAAAAAGAUGCACUAUCACACUCUUAUACAGUACAGUUUUACUGUGACAAGAUUAAAUAAAAUUAUAAAAGAAAAAUGAUAUUUGUUUAUGCAUAUCUGUAAGAAAACGAAGUCAUAAUGUCGAUUUGUCUGCAUCAUAUCUACGAUCAAAAGGUUCUUUAGAGUAUUUUUAUGCAAAACACUUUUGCAAUAACAACUGAAAUUUCUAUUAACUUAUGAUAUAAUUGCUAUCUUUCAUUAAUUAAUUGAAAAUUAAGUUAGAAUGGUGCUGUAGCACUUUGGUUUUCUUGUUCUGCUCUUUUUGUAUUAACUUUGUUCCGUUUCUUUCAGUUUUUCACAAAAGGUGACUGAAUCUGACUUUGUUGUACAUAUAUGUGCUAUACAGGCCUAUUGACAUAACCUGAGUGAAGUAAACUUUUAAAAAAAA
ensembl:lncRNA